rnacentral:rRNA from 1 species
GCAGUAGCCGCGGGAAUACAGAGGGUGCAAGCGUUAAUCGGAAUUACUGGGCGUAAAGCGCGCGUAGGUGGUUUGUUAAGUUGGGUGUGAAAGCCCCGGGCUCAACCUGGGAACUGCAUCCAAAACUGGCAAGCUAGAGUACGGUAGAGGGUGGUGGAAUUUCCUGUGUAGCGGUGAAAUGCGUAGAUAUAGGAAGGAACACCAGUGGCGAAGGCGACCACCUGGACUGAUACUGACACUGAGGUGCGAAAGCGUGGGGAGCAAACAGGAUUAGAUACCCCAGUAGUCCCUGUCUCUUAUAC